rnacentral:rRNA from 1 species
UACGGAGGGUGCAAGCGUUGUUCGGAAUCAUUGGGCGUAAAGCGCGUGUAGGCGGCUUGGUAAGUCGGGUGUGAAAUCCCGGGGCCCAACCCCGGAAUUGCACUCGAAACUGCCUCGCUAGAGUCCCGGAGAGGAAGGCGGAAUUCCCGGUGUAGAGGUGAAAUUCGUAGAUAUCGGGAGGAACUCCAGCGGCGAAGGCGGCCUUCUGGACGGUGACUGACGCUCAGACGCGAAAGCGUGGGGAGCAAACAGG